rnacentral:rRNA from 1 species
CUUUAGUUGCCUGUACCCGAAACCGACACAGGUAGGGGGGUAGAGAAUACCAAGGGGCGCGAGAUAACUCUCUCUAAGGAACUCGGCAAAAUGACCCCGUAACUUCGGGAGAAGGGGUACCACUGAGAAGUGGUCGCAGUGAAGAGGCCCAGGCGACUGUUUACCAAAAACACAGGUCUCCGCCAAGUCGCAAGACGAAGUAUGGGGGCUGACGCCUGCCCAGUGCCGGAAGGUUAAGGAAGUGGGUUAGGGAUUCGUCCCGAAGCUGACGACUGAAGCCCCGGUGAACGGCGGCCGUAACUAUAACGGUCCUAAGGUAGCGAAAUUCCUUGUCGGGUAAGUUCCGACCCGCACGAAAGGCGUAACGAUCUGGGCGCUGUCUCGGAGAGAGGCUCGGCGAAAUAGGAUUGUCUGUGAAGAUACGGACUACCUGCACCUGGACAGAAAGACCCUAUGAAGCUUUACUGUAGCUUGGAAUUGGGUUCGGGCUUGGUUUGCGCAGGAUAGGUGGGAGGCGAAGAAGAUUUGCUUGUGGGUGAAUCUGAGCCAACGGUGAGAUACCACUCUAACCAGGCUAGAAUUCUAACUUCAACCCGUCAACCGGGGGAAGGACAGUUUCAGGUGGGCAGUUUGACUGGGGCGGUCGCCUCCUAAAAGAUAACGGAGGCGCACAAAGGUUCCCUCAGGCUGGUUGGAAAUCAGCCAACGAGUGCAAAGGCAGAAGGGAGCUUGACUGCGAGACCUACAAGUCAAGCAGGGUGGAAACACGGUCUUAGUGAUCCGACGGCACCGAGUGGAAGGGCCGUCGCUCAACGGAUAAAAGUUACUCUAGGAUAACAGGCUGAUCUCCCCCAAGAGUUCACAUCGACGGGGAGGUUUGGCACCUCGAUGUCGGCUCAUCGCAACCUGGGGCGGAAGUACGUCCCAAGGGUUGGGCUGUUCGCCCAUUAAAGCGGUACGUGAGCUGGGUUCAGAACGUCGUGAGACAGUUCGGUCCAUAUCCGGUGUAGGCGCAAGAACAUUGAGAGGAGUCUUCCUUAGUACGAGAGGACCGGGAAGAACGUACCGCUGGUGUACCUGUUAUCGUGCCAACGGUAAACGCAGGGUAGCCAAGUGCGGAGUGGAUAACCGCUGAAAGCAUCUAAGUGGGAAGCCCACCUCAAGAUGAGUGUUCUCAUGGAGUAAUCCAGUAAGGUCACGGGAAGACGACCCGUUGAUAGGCGGUAGGUGGAAGUUCAGCAAUGGAUGAAGCCGAGCCGUACUAACAGACCGAGGGCUUGACC